GGGCUGGGGCAAUGCUGAUGAAAGGCAAAUUCCUGAGAGAAAAAUCACCCAGAUUUUUCAGUGCCUUCUCUAGCUUUCUGGAAGUUGUUAUGAGUGGACCUGACUACCUAGAGAGAGUAAUACAGAAGCUCCCUGCCGAUCACAGCUACCUCAUUACCAUGUUCCUCCAAGAUGGCCGCCCCUGAGGAGAAUCAUCAACUGGGCUUUACGGAAGAGAGAAAUCCAAACGACCAUCAGCAACAAAUGAAAGACUGAAGUUGAAAGGCAAGUCUUCAGAUUUGAAUUUCAAGAUUGCCAAGAAUGACGAGUUGGACUUGGUCUAGUUACUUCCACAGCAGCAGGAGGAACAUGUGUGUGACUCAGGAUAACUGGGGAAGCCUUGGCUAGGCUUUCCUCAUGUCAACCUACCACUCAAAGGGAGAAAACCUCCUGAUCAGAGGUGCCCAGAACCCAGGAAAUCCAUAAUUUUUGAAUGCUGGCUGAGGUCUGUGACCUCUGACUGAAUGGUUUCCAAGCUCCGAAUUCCUAGGUGAUGUUUUCAUUUGUUCACAGUUGCUGAAGAAGGGAAAGGCUCUCUGAUUUACGUGUAAGCAAAACAAUCUAAACAGUAGGAUAAAAUCAUGUUGGAAUGGAGUUCUGUGUGGAUGCUCCUUUGAACCAAAUCAGUUCCACAACUGACCCUG
rnacentral:lncRNA from 1 species